rnacentral:rRNA from 1 species
ACAUGCAAGUUGAACGCAACAAAGACACCAGAGCUUGCUCUACCGUCUUUGUUGAGUAGCGAACGGGUGAGUAACGCGUGGGUAACCUGCCUUAUAGCGGGGAUAACUAUUGGAAACGAUAGCUAAUACCGCAUAACAAUAGAGAUUGCAUAAUCUUUAUUUGAAAGUGCCAACUGGUACACUAUGAGAUGGACCCGCGUUGUAUUAGCUAGUUGGUAGUGUAAUGGACUACCAAGGCGAUGAUACAUAGCCGACCUGAGAGGGUGAUCGGCCACAUUGGGACUGAGACACGGCCCAAACUCCUACGGGAGGCAGCAGUAGGGAAUCUUCGGCAAUGGACGAAAGUCUGACCGAGCAACGCCGCGUGAGUGAAGAAGGUUUUCGGAUCGUAAAACUCUGUCGUUAGAGAAGAAUGUUGAUUAGAGUGGAAAAUUAAUCAAGUGACGGUAUCUAACCAGAAAGGGACGGCUAACUACGUG